GACAGAGGUGGCAAGCGUUGUUCGGAAUUACUGGGCGUAAAGGGCGUGUAGGCGGUCUUCUAAGUCAGACGUGAAAUCCCCCGGCUUAACCUGGGAACUGCGUCUGAUACUGGGAGGCUUGAGUAUGGGAGAGGGAUGUAGAAUUCCAGGUGUAGCGGUGAAAUGCGUAGAUAUCUGGAGGAAUACCGGUGGCGAAGGCGGCAUCCUGGACCAUUACUGACGCUUAAGCGCGAAAGCUAGGGGAGCAAACGGG
rnacentral:rRNA from 1 species